AGAGUUUGAUCAUGGCUCAGAAUCAACGCUGGCGGCGUGCCUAACACAUGCAAGUCGAACGCGAAAGGGGCUUCGGCCCUGAGUAGAGUGGCGAACGGGUGAGUAACACGUGGGUGAUCUACCUUUCAGUGGGGGAUAACGUUCCGAAAGGAGCGCUAAUACCGCAUGACGUCCUGGGUUUGAAGGCCUGGAGACCAAAGUCGGGGACCGCAAGGCCUGACGCUGAAGGAGGAGCCCGCGCCUGAUUAGCUAGUUGGUGGGGUAAUGGCCUACCAAGGCGACGAUCAGUAGCCGGCCUGAGAGGGCGGACGGCCACACUGGGACUGAGACACGGCCCAGACUCCUACGGGAGGCAGCAGUGGGGAAUUGUUCGCAAUGGGCGCAAGCCUGACGACGCAACGCCGCGUGGAGGAUGACGGUCUUCGGAUUGUAAACUCCUGUUGAUCGGGAAGAAUGGCCCUUGGCUGAAUACGCCGAGGGAGUGACGGUACCGAUUGAGGAAGCCACGGCUAACUCUGUGCCAGCAGCCGCGGUAAUACAGAGGUGGCAAGCGUUGUUCGGAAUUACUGGGCGUAAAGGGCGCGUAGGCGGUUGCCUCAGUCGGACGUGAAAUCCCCAAGCUUAACUUGGGAACUGCGUCCGAUACUGGGUGACUUGAGUUCGGGAGAGGAAUGUGGAAUUCCAGGUGUAGCGGUGAAAUGCGUAGAUAUCUGGAGGAACACCGGUGGCGAAGGCGGCAUUCUGGACCGAAACUGACGCUGAGGCGCGAAAGCCAGGGGAGCAAACGGGAUUAGAUACCCCAGUAGUCC
rnacentral:rRNA from 1 species